UUACCUGAGAGAUUGUAGCUUUUAAUAAUGAAAGCAAUUGUGUUUCUUUUUCACUCACUGCCAAGCAGAUCCCUUCCAAUAGGGCUCUCCCGUGUGUACAUGUAUGCAGACCACUGCAGAGGGCAGUGGUGGCACACCCAGAUGGUUCCAUGUGUGGAUGACUCCGUGCAUCUGACCGUAGCUCCUGUGGCAUGCUCACAGGGUUUGAAGAUUCGAGUCUCGAGAUGUUUUCUCUUAUCCCUGCUUUGCUCCAGCUGUGUUAUCUCACUGCACCCUUCAGUGCUGGAGCCAGAUGUUGCAGGAACGUUUGUGGAGAUGACAAAAAACCGCAUUCCUGAGAGAGCUGGAAAUAAUUUGUGUUGCUGCUAUGUGAGAGGUUAAAUGAGCAACUCAACUUUCUGGCAAGCACGGUGAGAAGCACCUCCAGAGGCCGUGAGUCAGCACUGCUGGAGCAGCAAGAGAGCAGCAGGAGGAUGCAGAGAUGUCAAAGCAAAGCCCUGUUUUGUCCUUAGAACGGCCCACAGUUGGGACAGCAUCUCAACCUUACAGGAGAGAGCUGCCCAAAUGGCACCGAGUCGCCUGUUGGGAUUGAUGGAGCGUGUGCUGUCGGUUCAUAAUUUGUGCUGAAAUACUCUCAGUAAAUACGUUUGUGAGAGCAA